UUACCUUUUAAAUUAGGUCCAGAGAGACUUACAAGGGUGUUAAUAACAUGAUGAAUUGUGAAAGUUAACCACUUUAUCAAUUCAUGCUCGCGAGUUAUUUUUUGACACCCUGAUUCCUCAUAAUCAGGGUGUUUUUUGU
rfam:Bacillus sp. 1NLA3E, complete genome.